rnacentral:rRNA from 1 species
UACGUAGGGGGCAAGCGUUGUCCGGAUUUACUGGGCGUAAAGGGCGCGUAGGCGGCGCAACAAGUCACUUGUGAAAUCUCCGGGCUUAACCCGGAGCGGCCAAGUGAUACUGUCGUGCUAGAGUGCGGAAGGGGCUACUGGAAUUCUCGGUGUAGCGGUGAAAUGCGUAGAUAUCGAGAGGAACACCUGCGGCGAAGGCGGGUAGCUGGGCCGACACUGACGCUGAGGCGCGAAAGCCAGGGGAGCGAACAGG